rnacentral:rRNA from 1 species
GAUGAACGCUGGCGGCGUGCCUAAUACAUGCAAGUCGAGCGAACAGACGAGGAGCUUGCUCCUCUGACGUUAGCGGCGGACGGGUGAGUAACACGUGGAUAACCUACCUAUAAGACUGGGAUAACUUCGGGAAACCGGAGCUAAUACCGGAUAAUAUAUUGAACCGCAUGGUUCAAUAGUGAAAGACGGUUUUGCUGUCACUUAUAGAUGGAUCCGCGCCGCAUUAGCUAGUUGGUAAGGUAACGGCUUACCAAGGCAACGAUGCGUAGCCGACCUGAGAGGGUGAUCGGCACACUGGAACUGAGACACGGUCCAGACUCCUACGGGAGGCAGCAGUAGGGAAUCUUCCGCAAUGGGCGAAAGCCUGACGGAGCAACGCCGCGUGAGUGAUGAAGGUCUUCGGAUCGUAAAACUCUGUUAUUAGGGAAGAACAAAUGUGUAAGUAACUGUGCACGUCUUGACGGUACCUAAUCAGAAAGCCACGGCUAACUACGUG